rnacentral:ncRNA from 2 species
GUAGCUUUGUGGCGGAAAGGUGUAACAGCCAGUUGUCUCUGUCUGUUAGUAAAAGGGAAUCAGGUGCGAAUCCUGAGCUGUACCCGUAGCUGUAUGUCCAUCAAAGCCUUCGGUUUCUUCAUGCCACUGAACGUUGGAGUGUUCGGGAAGGUGUCCGAAAAUAGGCGGAUAAGUCAGAAAACCUGCCUUGCCCUUAAUCAGUAA